rnacentral:misc_RNA from 1 species
GCCGCGGGAAUUGGAUUGCAUCGAUGAAGAACGCAGUGAAAUGCGAUAAGUAAUGUGAAUUGCCGAAUUCAGUGAAUCAUCGAAUCUUUGUACGCACAUUGCGCCCAUUAGUAUUCUAGUGGGCAUGCCUGUUCGAGCGUCAUUUCAACCAUUAAGCCCUAUUUGCUUGGCGUUGGGAGACUUGUAGGUCUGGCCUGCAAGCUCCUGAAAUAGAUCGGCGGAGUCGUGGCGACCCUCAGCGUAGUAAUUCUUCUCGCUUUAGGUGUCGGCGCUGGCGUUUAGCCGUUAAACCCCCUAUUUCUUUUAGUCUUGACCUCGGAUCAGGUAGGAAUACCCGCUGAACUUAAGCAUAUCAAUAAGGGGAGGA